UCCCUGGCUGUGCGCUGAGGCGCCCUAUGUGCCAUCACCACGAGGCUUGGUCGGAGAACACGGCCCUCUGGGACACAUCACGAAGACCAAAGCCACUGUGGACACGGAAGGAAGAGACCCUCGUUCACUGCUGUCCCACUUUUGUUUCUAAAGGGGGAAUACCUAGUUUCAGCCUGACCUCGGAUUUGAUCUGAGUUUUCAGCAUCUGGGCUGCACCCAACAUGGCUGCAGGGGGACCCCUGACUCCAGGCCCCGGGAUCCGUCACAGCUGGGGGUGACAGGAGAGAGCCUGGCUCCAGCCCUGGGCCUUCUGCCCAGCCCACGCCCCGUGACCUCUCCUGGUGUCCCCGAAGCAAGGAAGAGCCCCUCCCUGCCUGCCCGCGUGCGAGUAACCAAGAGUGUGUCUGAGCACAUAUGGGAACUUGAAGGUUUUGCCUGAGGAAAAGAAAGUCGUGUGCUUCUCGGGUGAGUGAAGGUGUUCUCUGUCCCCGGCUCUGCCAAGCAGCAGCCACCAAACCUUCGCGUGAAUGCCGCCAGGAUCCGUGACACAUCCCCCAGCGUCUGGAGAUGGAAGCCACAGAACCUUAGGACGGGCCAGACCCUGGGCUCAGGCUCCGGAGCCCGAGCGGGCGUGCCGAGUGAGACGGGGAGCCAGUGCUCGCUCUUUCUCCCCACUCUCCCGUGCUGGAAAGGAGGAGAGAGAUGCCCUUUGCUCCGUUCCGCCUAGAGGAGCCCCAUUCUCCUUCUCUCUCGGGGGGCAGGGAGGGUUCGGGCCAUAGCCCGCUGUGCCCCAGGCCAGCGUGGGGCUCCGGGGACCGUCUGCAGUGCUAGCGACCAAGUGACGAGCUCUGUCCUCUCCCGAGCCCCACAG